CAAGUGGUAGCAAUAAUCAGCCUCGAGAAAAAGCAACCGGAUGUUUCUGGGAGAUUUAGUUACGAGGUAUAUGUUAUGAAAGGAUUUAGGACACUUUUAGAAAUAAUUAGAAAUUGAAAUAAAAUAGAGCUUAUUAAAAUAAAAAUCAUAUAUUUCUAAUUUAUUAAGUCAGUUAAAAGUAAAAGAGAAUAUAAAUAUCAAAUAACUUAUUGGCAUAAGCAAAUAUAACGAGAAGAAAAUACAAAGAAAAGAGUUCAUCAGUCAUAAGAGUAACAUACAUUAUGUAAGAUGCAAGAUAAGCAAAAAUAGUACAAGUCAAGAAUCUUAAUUAAUAGGUUAGGUAGCACGUUUCAGAAGGUUGUUAGGUCGACGGACAGAUGCGGAACGAAUUGCUACUACGUCAUAGGUUAUAACCAUAUUCACAGAAUUUGUAGAUAGUGCAGCAUCAUGAAUAUUCAGCAAUACAUUACGGCACACAAGAAUGUUAUUAAUAACCAAUCAAAAAGCUGGAUAACGAUGAUGACAUACUCAAAAUAAAAUUGAGAAUUUAAUAAAAUCUUAAAUUAUCUUUUAAUAUAAGGAUCAGAAUUUGGAAUUCAAACGAAAUAUUAUUUUAUUAAAUUAAAGAAAUAAUAAUCAAAAUGCUUUUCAAAAAUAAAUAAGUGCAUUUUGCAUAUUAUGAAAUAACAAGUAUUUUUGGCACCAAAAUUACGUUAUUUGCAGAAAGGCUCAGUUUUUGAACGGGAGAAAAAUGAUGUCAUGCAGGUAUUCAUCGGGACCUAUAAAAGAAAAAUAUUUAGGUUCGCGCUAACGGUUCAUUCAUCCUAUGCCAACAUUUUGAAAUUUAGGUAUAAAAUUGUGUGAAUUUUUUUUGGCAUAGGUUGAAUAAUUUGUUACAGAUUUUAACGUGUUGUAAAAACAUAAAUUAAUUAGGGGCUAAUCAAUUUACAACCAGUUUAAACGUAGCGUUAAGGUAUACUCAAAGUACUGGUGAAAAUGUAGGUAAUUGUGUGGGCUUUUUCUCGUUUUGCCUUAGCUGUCAAAAUAAUUAUAUAAAAUUAAUCCCAGUUUGCAUUAGUACAAAUUUUCAGGUACACAAGAAUCAACUAAGGCGAAAUGGGAGCUUAUGUAAACAACGUAAAAAUUUAAUAUAAUGCGCCCACGUGACCAGGAGAAAAUUACGUCUAUUUAGACAGCAAAAACAGUGCUAAUGAAAUUGGAAUAAAAAUAAUCCUGGGUCACUUUGGCGCACCCAGUUGCUUAAAUUAGUGGUUUUGAAGUUCAUCCAAAUAAACUUCAAGUAUCAGGGAAUUUUUUAACGCAAUAAUUAGUUUUCGGGCCUUAUCGUACCUUGUCCUUUCACUUAUAUGAUUAUCCCAAACGUCACACUAUUAUCAGAUAUGAUGCUGCAUCUGCACAAUCAACAGGUGUUAUUUUGUUUUCUUGAGUCACUGGGGCCAGUUUCACAAAACUAUCUCAGUAAGACAUGUCUUAGGAUGGUUUUACGGCAUAUUUUAGUCCUUAGUGGAUCUACAAAAUGGUCCUAAAUUUGACAAUUUUUUAAAGUUGGUCACAAAGUAAGGACUACACGAGAGGUAUCUUAUGAUGUUCUUAGGAUAAUCACACGUGUGUCUAUAUAAAUUAUACUCAUUUUUAUAUUGAUUUUGCAAACUAUCUUAUUAUUAUCCUAUUAUUCAUUCGGAUGAUGGAGUUCCAAAUUAGAGACACAAAAUUUAACCAUAAAUUUCACAGCUCAAUAUAAUGAAUAAAAAUAAACACGGAGGACUUUAAUUUUAACUAAAACAAAGUCAAUAAAUUGAGCACUGCCCCACUGGAAAGUUGCUGCCUAAUAAAUGAACCAAAAAAUCAUUUUUUUUAAUAUUUAUUUUAUAUUUUAUAUUGAAAAAUUUAUUGAUUAAAAACAAAAGUUUCUGUUGAAGUAUGGUAUAUUUGUAUAUUUUGUUGCUUGUUGAAGUAUACUUCAUAUUAAAUACAACAAAAUAAUGAACAAAAUUAUCAUAAAAAUUUGCAUAAGUGAAAUAGCUUUUUAUCUCUUUUUUCUCAAGUAUUUUUAUAUUUAAGUGUUUAAUUUUAGAAAUUAAGUCAAUUGUUUUUAUAAUCAUUUUUUUUUCAACACAAUUCUGCUAGUAUCAAGGUUUCGAAUUCUAUUUUACAAAUUUUGUCUUUUAUAAUUUUUUAAAUAAUUCCAUUUUCACUACAACACAAUUUUGCAAAGACCUUAUUUUUGUUUCCGAAUUUUUAAAGAGUAAUAUUUUUAAUGCUCAAAUAUACUGACUGUAUAUUACCUUUUAUUAAUUAAAAAUUGUUAUAACAACACCUAUUGUAUUUUGUUUGUAGGCAUAGGUUGAAUAUAUAUUUAUCAAAUGUUGGCAUACGGUUGAAGACACCGCGCUAACAUCAUUUUCCUCCCAGCAAAACUGAGUCCUCGUUGUUUAUUCUUUUACAAAGGUAAGCUAGAUUUAUUUAUUUGAAAUUUAGGUAUACGCAUUUAAGAUUAAAAUGAAAUAGGAAAUAAUAUAUAAGUAGUAAUAAAAGAAAAUAUUUAUUUAUAUAAUUCAAGAAAUAUAAUAUAUCAAUUUGAUUCUUUAUUUAAUUAUUAAAUAAAUUAAAUAUUAACACUUUAUUGUAUUCGGAUAAAUCAUUAUAAUAAAUAAUAUCAUGAGAUUAUUCACCCCACAACAAUAAAUAGGAUGAUCAUAAAUAAGUUAAAAAGCAGAUGUUUCAUACGUACUGCAUAAAUGCAUAUAAAUGGCAUAGUUAAUUGACAUGGAAUUCACGAGUUAAUUGCAGCAAUUUACGAAACAGGAAUACUUGUAGUCAAGAGAUCAUGUUAUUUGUUGUUAUUGUGUAUAAUUAAUGUAUUGUAAAUUAUUUUGAUCAAAAAGAAAGAAAAGAAAGAAUAAUUAAAAACAUCAUUUUCCUCCCAGCAAAACUGAGUUCUCGUUGUUUAUUCUUUUACAAAGGUCGUUAGGCAGAUUCCAACCUAGCACUACCGAGCUUUUCCC
rnacentral:lncRNA from 1 species